rnacentral:rRNA from 1 species
GAUGAACGCUGGCGGCGUGCUUAACACAUGCCAGUCGAACGGAAAGGCCAGUGCCUGCACUGGUACUCGAGUGGCGAACGGGUGAGUAACACGUGGGUGAUCUGCCCUGCACUUCGGGAUAAGCCUGGGAAACUGGGUCUAAUACCGGAUAGGACAAUGGUUUGGAUGCCGUUGUGGAAAGUUUUUUCGGUGUGGGAUGAGCUCGCGGCCUAUCAGCUUGUUGGUGGGGUAAUGGCCUACCAAGGCGUCGACGGGUAGCCGGCCUGAGAGGGUGUACGGCCACAUUGGGACUGAGAUACGGCCCAGACUCCUACGGGAGGCAGCAGUGGGGAAUAUUGCACAAUGGGCGCAAGCCUGAUGCAGCGACGCCGCGUGGGGGAUGACGGCCUUCGGGUUGUAAACUCCUUUCGCUAGGGACGAAGCGUAUUUGUGACGGUGCCUGGAGAAGAAGCACCGGCUAACUACGUG